rnacentral:rRNA from 1 species
GACAGAGGGUGCAAACGUUGUUCGGAUUUACUGGGCGUAAAGCACGUGUAGGCGGCUUUGCAAGUCGGAUGUGAAAGCCCACGGCUCAACCGUGGAAGUGCAUCCGAAACGGCAUGGCUUGAGUCUCGGAGAGGAAGGUGGAAUGCUUGGUGUAGAGGUGAAAUUCGUAGAUAUCAAGCAGAACACCUGCGGCGAAGGCGGCCUUCUGGACGAUGACUGACGCUGAGACGCGAAAGCGUGGGGAGCAAACAGG